rnacentral:rRNA from 1 species
CAGCAGCCGCGGUAACACGUAGGUGGCAAGCGUUGUCCGGAAUUAUUGGGCGUAAAGGGCUCGCAGGCGGUUUCUUAAGUCUGAUGUGAAAGCCCCCGGCUCAACCGGGGAGGGUCAUUGGAAACUGGGAAACUUGAGUGCAGAAGAGGAGAGUGGAAUUCCACGUGUAGCGGUGAAAUGCGUAGAGAUGUGGAGGAACACCAGUGGCGAAGGCGACUCUCUGGUCUGUAACUGACGCUGAGGAGCGAAAGCGUGGGGAGCGAACAGGAUUAGAUACCCCAGUAGUCCCUGUCUCUUAUAA